AUGUUACCCAUUCCCCCCGCUAUGAGGGCUCUAAAGCCGGAGUCGAGGGGGUGGGUGUGUCUCCUAGGUGUGACUCCGCCCACCCUCAUGGUCCCGCCCCCCUCCAGUGUGGAGCUGCAGCAGGUGAAGACCACACUCCUGUGUUUCUCCAACAAGAGCUUGAGGCUGAGCUGGAAGGUGGGUGGGAGCAGCUGGAGCUCGGGGGUCAGGCAGAGUCCCGGGCUUCUGCAGAAGGACCACGGCCUCCACAGCUGGAGCAGCACCCUGACCCUCCAGGAGGAGCAGUGGCUGAAGAACACAGUGACCUGUGAGACCACCAAGCACCUCCAGCCUACUGUCAGCAGGACACUGAGGAGAGAGCAGGACACUGAGCAGUGAGGACCACCAGCCUCUGCUUUACUCAGCUCACUUUCUUCUGCUUCAUUCAGGAUUUAAAACACAGAUUUGAGCUUCACUGCUGAAAC